rnacentral:lncRNA from 1 species
GUUUUCUCCUGCUCUUCAGAGCACCUGGGAUAAGGUUCCUGAUGGGUCUUGGGAGCAAACUAACAUGUCGCUCCAGGCGCUCAAGACCAUCCCUCUGAUUUUCAUAUUUUGGGGCUGAGAGCGUUUAAGAAGGACUGAAAAACGCUGCAGUCUUUGAGGGGCUAAGUUUGGAGGAUGCGGGAGUGGGAGAGGAUGCCUUCUUGGCUCCUUGGAGUGGACUGGCAGAGGAAAGGUGCAUCCUGGAGUCUGAAGACACAGGGACACAGAGAAGAGCCUGAACACAGAGGCCUGGCCCCGUUUUCCCCAGUUUGUUACUGUUAGAUCAUACUUUUAUUGUCUUAUCAUACUUCUCCAUGACUAUCCAUUCUUCAAUAAAACUACUCUUAAAAAACAAACAAAC